UUGCACGCUGGCGGCAGGCCUAACACAUGCAAGUCGAACGGUAACAGGAAGAAGCUUGCUUCUUUGCUGACGCGUGGCGGACGGGUGAGUAAUGUCUGGGAAACUGCCUGAUGGAGGGGGAUAACUACUGGAAACGGUAGCUAAUACCGCAUAACGUCGCAAGACCAAAGAGGGGGACCUUCGGGCCUCUUGCCAUCGGAUGUGCCCAGAUGGGAUUAGCUAGUAGGUGGGGUAACGGCUCACCUAGGCGACGAUCCCUAGCUGGUCUGAGAGGAUGACCAGCCACACUGGAACUGAGACACGGUCCAGACUCCUACGGGAGGCAGCAGUGGGGAAUAUUGCACAAUGGGCGCAAGCCUGAUGCAGCCAUGCCGCGUGUAUGAAGAAGGCCUUCGGGUUGUAAAGUACUUUCAGCGGGGAGGAAGGGAGUAAAGUUAAUACCUUUGCUCAUUGACGUUACCCGCAGAAGAAGCGCCGGCUAACUCCGUG
rnacentral:rRNA from 1 species